GACGAACCGUGCAAACGUUGUUCGAAUCACUGGGCUUAAAGGCGCGUAGGCGGCCAGCCAGUCUGUGGUGAAAGCCUCCAGCUUAACUGGAGAAGUGCCGCGGAUACUGCUGGCCUCGAGGAGGUAGGGCAUCUGGAACGGUCGGUGGAGCGGUGAAAUGCGUUGAUAUCGACCGGAACUCCGGUCGGCGAAGGCGAGGUGCUGGACCCUUUCUGACGCUGAGGCGCGAAAGCCAGGGAGCAAACGGG
rnacentral:rRNA from 1 species